rnacentral:rRNA from 1 species
GACGAACCGUGCGAACGUUGUUCGGAAUCACUGGGCUUAAAGGGCGCGUAGGCGGGCUACCAAGUCUGUGGUGAAAUCCUCCAGCUCAACUGGAGAACGGCCGUGGAUACUGGGAGCCUCGAGGGAGAUAGGGGCAGGCGGAACUGAUGGUGGAGCGGUGAAAUGCGUUGAUAUCAUCAGGAACUCCGGUGGCGAAGGCGGCCUGCUGGAUCUCAUCUGACGCUGAGGCGCGAAAGCCAGGGGAGCAAAC